CGUGGAACCGAGUGCCUGCAUUGUUGAUUCCAGAGGGUUUUACGUGGUUGAGGGGAAGACACUCGAUCGAGAUUUGCACAGGUUAACUCUGUUCCUCUGUGUGGAAUUGCUGCUUCAAUGGAUUAUCUGUACCAGUAACAUUCCUCAAGUCAAAACACUAUAUUCCAAUUUAAUUGUUUUCUCCCUCAGAAGAUCACUUCCAGGCAAAGAGAAGAGAUUGUCAACUCCUUAUUUUCCCCCCCAAGUUACAAGAAAUUUUGUAAGAAGCUUGCUCUCCUAGAAGGCUAGACUCCUCUUGAACAGUACUGAAUUUUUCACAACUCUUGAUCAACAUUAUAACUAUCAUAAAAUAAUCUUUUUAUUCUGGUUAA